rnacentral:rRNA from 1 species
GACGAACGCUGGCGGCAGGCUUAACACAUGCAAGUCGAACGCUCUCUUCGGAGAGAGUGGCAGACGGGUGAGUAACGCGUGGGAAUCUACCAUAUUCUACGGAACAACAGUUAGAAAUGACUGCUAAUACCGUAUACGCCCUCCGGGGGAAAGAUUUAUCGGAGUAUGAUGAGCCCGCGUUUGAUUAGCUAGUUGGUGAGGUAAUGGCUCACCAAGGCUACGAUCAAUAGCUGGUCUGAGAGGAUGAUCAGCCACACUGGGACUGAGACACGGCCCAG